GACGAACGCUGGCGGCGUGCCUAAUACAUGCAAGUUGAGCGAGGAAGAUUGGUGCUUGCACCAAUUUGAAGAGCAGCGAACGGGUGAGUAACGCGUGGGGAAUCUGCCUUUGAGCGGGGGACAACAUUUGGAAACGAAUGCUAAUACCGCAUAACAACUUUAAACAUAAGUUUUAAGUUUGAAAGAUGCAAUUGCAUCACUCAAAGAUGAUCCCGCGUUGUAUUAGCUAGUUGGUGAGGUAAAGGCUCACCAAGGCGAUGAUACAUAGCCGACCUGAGAGGGUGAUCGGCCACAUUGGGACUGAGACACGGCCCAAACUCCUACGGGAGGCAGCAGUAGGGAAUCUUCGGCAAUGGACGAAAGUCUGACCGAGCAACGCCGCGUGAGUGAAGAAGGUUUUCGGAUCGUAAAACUCUGUUGGUAGAGAAGAACGUUGGUGAGAGUGGAAAGCUCAUCAAGUGACGGUAACUACCCAGAAAGGGACGGCUAACUACGUG
rnacentral:rRNA from 1 species